GACGAACGCUGGCGGCGUGCUUAACACAUGCAAGUCGAACGGAAAGGCCCUUCGGGGUACUCGAGUGGCGAACGGGUGAGUAACACGUGGGUGAUCUGCCCUGCACUUUGGGAUAAGCCUGGGAAACUGGGUCUAAUACCGAAUAGGACCACGCGCUUCAUGGUGUGUGGUGGAAAGCUUUUGCGGUGUGGGAUGGGCCCGCGGCCUAUCAGCUUGUUGGUGGGGUAAUGGCCUACCAAGGCGACGACGGGUAGCCGGCCUGAGAGGGUGACCGGCCACACUGGGACUGAGAUACGGCCCAGACUCCUACGGGAGGCAGCAGUGGGGAAUAUUGCACAAUGGGCGCAAGCCUGAUGCAGCGACGCCGCGUGAGGGAUGACGGCCUUCGGGUUGUAAACCUCUUUCAAUAGGGACGAAGCGCAAGUGACGGUACCUAUAGAAGAAGCACCGGCCAACUACGUGCCAGCAGCCGCGGUAAUACGUAGGGUGCGAGCGUUGUCCGGAAUUACUGGGCGUAAAGAGCUCGUAGGUGGUUUGUCGCGUUGUUCGUGAAAACUCACAGCUUAACUGUGGGCGUGCGGGCGAUACGGGCAGACUAGAGUACUGCAGGGGAGACUGGAAUUCCUGGUGUAGCGGUGGAAUGCGCAGAUAUCAGGAGGAACACCGGUGGCGAAGGCGGGUCUCUGGGCAGUAACUGACGCUGAGGAGCGAAAGCGUGGGGAGCGAACAGGAUUAGAUACCCUGGUAGUCCACGCCGUAAACGGUGGGUACUAGGUGUGGGUUCCUUCCUUGGGAUCCGUGCCGUAGCUAACGCAUUAAGUACCCCGCCUGGGGAGUACGGCCGCAAGGCUAAAACUCAAAGGAAUUGACGGGGGCCCGCACAAGCGGCGGAGCAUGCGGAUUAAUUCGAUGCAACGCGAAGAACCUUACCUGGGUUUGACAUGCACAGGACGCCGGCAGAGAUGUCGGUUCCCUUGUGGCCUGUGUGCAGGUGGUGCAUGGCUGUCGUCAGCUCGUGUCGUGAGAUGUUGGGUUAAGUCCCGCAACGAGCGCAACCCUUGUCCUAUGUUGCCAGCGGGUUAUGCCGGGGACUCGUAGGAGACUGCCGGGGUCAACUCGGAGGAAGGUGGGGAUGACGUCAAGUCAUCAUGCCCCUUAUGUCCAGGGCUUCACACAUGCUACAAUGGCCGGUACAAAGGGCUGCGAUGCCGUGAGGUGGAGCGAAUCCUUUCAAAGCCGGUCUCAGUUCGGAUCGGGGUCUGCAACUCGACCCCGUGAAGUCGGAGUCGCUAGUAAUCGCAGAUCAGCAACGCUGCGGUGAAUACGUUCCCGGGCCU
rnacentral:rRNA from 1 species